GGAUUAUCACAUAGAUGCUGAUUAUCAAGUGGGUGAUGGCUUCUCUUUCAGUGGAGGUGGAAUGGGAAAAGAACAUCGAUCCUGAUAACAUGACAUAUGAGGUUCAAUUAUAAAUCUUGAUACUUGUUGGUGCAUAACAAUAGGUUAGCCCAGACCUCUAUGGUGACAGCAACACAACUGUUUUUAUCGAUCUCAAAGGUAAUCACAAAAGGUUGUAAAGCAACUCAAAUAAGAAGCUCGGACACAAG